GUCCACGCCCUAAACUAUGGCGACUAGUUGUUGGGGAUUAACAUCCUUAGUAACGCAGCUAACGCGUGAAGUCGCCCGCCUGGGGAGUACGGUCGCAAGAUUAAAACUCAAAGGAAUUGACGGGGGCCCGCACAAGCGGUGGAUGAUGUGGUUUAAUUCGAUGCAACGCGAAAAACCUUACCUACCCUUGACAUGUCCGGAAUCCUGUAGAAAUAUAGGAGUGCCCGAAAGGGAAUCGGAACACAGGUGCUGCAUGGCUGUCGU
rnacentral:rRNA from 1 species